rnacentral:rRNA from 1 species
UAGCCACGGUAAUACCCGCUCCCCGAGUGGUGGGGACUUUUACUGAGCUUAAAGCGCCCGUAGCCGGUCAUGCGUGUCUCCAGUUAAAUCUAACGGCCCAACCGUUAGGCUGCGGAAGAUACCACAGGGCUAGGGGCGGGAGAGGUGGACGGGUACUCCAAGGGUAGGGGUAAAAUACCUCUGAUCCUUGGAAGACCACCGGUGGCGAAGGC